UUUCUUCUAUUAAUUGUGGGUUAGGUGGUUCUUAGUCCUUGAGAUGCAUCGUGAGGUAGUUUCAGGGCCUGUCUUUGAUGGAGGUACUCAAACAAGCCUCUUAACGCUGCUUUUGCUGUAUCCCUUAGGUUCUGUUUGUUUUCAUUUUCUUCAAGGAAUUUUUAAAUUUCCCUUUUGACUUCCUCAGUGACACAUUGUUGAUUCAAAAGUGUGUUGUUCAGUCUGUAUAAUUUCUAAAGUUUCUCAUUAUUCAUUUCUUGUUGUAUUCCAUUGUGAUAAAAAAUGAAACAGAAUGAUAUCAGGAUUGGGGAGUUUUCUUUUGUGGCUUAAUACAUGGUACAUUCUAGAGAAUGUUCUAUGUGCUGUUGUGUGGGGGGUUGUAUUUAGAUAUUUACAGGAAUGUUUUGUAAAUCUGUUAAACCCAUUUAAUCCACAGUAUCAUUUAUCUCUAAUUUUUUGUCUGGAGGUUGUAUCCAUUAGUGAGUAAGGUAUGAAAACUCCCCGAUUAUUAUUAUAUUGGACUAUCUCCAUCACUUAAGGUCUAAGUGUGUUUUAUAAAAUUAGGUGCUCUGCUAUUAGGUAUUUAUAAAUUUAUACUAGUUCUAUCUUGAUGAAUUGUUAGACCAAGCAGCAGUAACUAUAUUUUAUAUGUGACAGACUAUCAUUUUCUAUCUUCUCAGUCUUUUUUACAUUUUUUUUAGUUGUUGGACUUUUUAUAUGUAUGUGGUGUUGAGAAUCAAACCCAGUGCUGCAAGCAUGCUACCACCAAGCCACACCCCCAGCCCCCUUUUCUCAGUCCUUGUUAUAAUCUACUCAGCCAGUCUGUAUCUUUUAAGGUCCAUUUACAUUGAGAGUUAUUACUGAAAGAUACAGACUUAUAUGCCUGUCAUUUU
rnacentral:lncRNA from 1 species